ACUGUCUCUUAAUUAUAAAUAAAAUUUAAUUUUUUAAUUAAAAAGUUAAAAUAAAUUAAAAAGACGAGAAGACCCUAUAGAGUUUUAUAAUUUUAUUAAUUAAGAUUAUUUAAUUAAAAAUAAGAAUUAAGAUUGUUAAAAUUAUUUUGUUGGGGUGACAGAAAAAUAAAUAUAACUUUUUUUAUUUAAGAACAUAUAUAAGUGGGGGUUUGAUCCAAUAAUAUUGAUUAUAAGAAAAAAUUACCUUAGGGAUAACAGCGUAAUUUUUUUUUUUAGUUCAAAUAAAAAAGAGAGUUUGCGACCUCGAUGUUGGAUUAAGAUAAAAUUUAAAUGCAGAAG
rnacentral:rRNA from 1 species